ensembl:ncRNA asRNA:CR45126 antisense RNA:CR45126
AUUGUUUUUCUGUCUGUGGCUGGAAAUUCCGGAAAAUAAUACAUUUUAUGAAAACUUACUUGUAGAAAAAUGUUCAUCAAUGCUGAGAAUAAUAAUAAUAAAAACGUAUAUAAAUAUUUGGUGUUGCACAUUUUAUUAAGAGCCGUGAAUUCUUUUUUUUGUUACGCAAACGCGACAGAACCAAUCGUCGUUGUCCUUCGGUGCAAAGGUUAUACCAACACAAAUCCUAAAGUAAAAGUUUUUUUUUAAGUAAAUUGUAGUAUACAGUUGGUUCAGCACAAUUAUACCAAUGAUACCAAGCGUCGCAGCCGUCACAACCAAUCAUAGCUGAUCCAUCGUCGACCUUUCCACAAGCGGGGCAAAUCCAAAUGCGGUUACCCUCAGCGUCAACAUAUGACGAUGGACGACUUGAUUCAGCAAUUUGCAUUGCAUUUGCAUUUUCCUCGGAUGUAUUUGGUGGAGAACUACAUAAUCCACUUUUUGACACUGUUCCUGUACUGUUGCACAUUGCUGGUACAAAGUUGUUCAUUAUCGUAUGAGGCGCCAACAUCAAUUGUUGUGGUAACAAAACUGAACUAGCCGAAAGCGUGGAAGAGGCAGUAUUACUGUUAUUAGGGUUUGAUAACCACCCUGCAGAAUUAGAUGAGGUUUGACUAACAGGAAGUUGCACGGCGCGCACAGCUACUGGGGAAGGUACAGGCAACACGGCCGUAGAACUGUUUCCUAAAUGCAGUGUUUCAGCUGGAAUAACAGUUAUUUUAAAAUGUAUAUAAAUUAUCGAAUAAUAACUUCGCCUACAUUGUUUGUUCUUAGGCGGGCCGGUAACCAAUGGAGAAAAACGAGCAAGCUCCGGAGAAUUAUCCCGUUCACGCUUCUUAUUUUCUGAAGACAAAAUCGUGGUUUGCUUUAGUUUCCCUGCAUCUGUCAUCUCCUUUUCUGAAGACGAAAAUAAUGUAGAUUUUCCACUAAGUUUUAGUGUUAGUUUUGGUAUUUGAUUUGGAGAUAUUCCACUUGUGGCGGCACCUAACGAUGGAUUUAUUGUCAUGGAACUUGAUUUCAAUACAGGUUCAUCGUUGUUAGCUAAAGGCACCUUGUCAAAUUCUUCUGUGUCAUCUGGUAUAUGGACUAAAAUCUAAAAUAAGAAUUGAUUAAACUAUAAAUUUAACUUUAAAAGAUUUUGCUGAGAUAUGUGUAUAGACUAAAAUAAAAUUUGUAAGAACUAAAAAUAUAACUUUAAAAGAUUUGGCUGCUUUACAUGUUUAUGUAGGAUUAAGAUGUUUUUGUACCUAUACCAAGCUGUAGGCUUCGAUGUUAUAAUUAGUCACAACAGUCUAUAUAAGUAUUAAUACAAAUUUGGAACAUAAUGUAUAAUGUAUAAUGCAUAAUGCAUAAUUUAAUGUUAUUAUACGGAAUAUGUUCACAGAAUUCAUGAUUUUAAAAAUGUUUCCCACAUAACUUGCUGUUUUCAAAUGAGUUUGUGUACGUACUUAUCGCAAAG